rnacentral:rRNA from 1 species
UACGUAGGGGGCAAGCGUUGUCCGGAAUCAUUGGGCGUAAAGCGCGUGUAGGCGGGCUGCCAAGUCUGGGGUGAAAUCCCACGGCUCAACCGUGGAACUGCCUCGGAUACUGGCGGCCUCGAGGGAGGUAGGGGCAUGCGGAACUAUGGGUGGAGCGGUGAAAUGCGUUGAUAUCCAUAGGAACUCCGGUGGCGAAGGCGGCGUGCUGGACCUCUUCUGACGCUGAGGCGCGAAAGCCAGGGGAGCGAACGGG